rnacentral:rRNA from 1 species
AUUGAACGCUGGCGGCAGGCCUAACACAUGCAAGUCGAGCGAGCGGCGGACGGGUGAGUAAUGUCUGGGAAACUGUCUGAUGGAGGGGGUUAACUACUGGAAACGGUAGCUAAUACCGCAUACCAUCAGAUGUGCCCAGAUGGGAUUAGCUGGUUGGUUGGGUAACGGCUCACCUAGGCGACGAUCCCUCGCUGGUCUGAGAGGACGACCAGCCACACAGGAGCUGAGCCACGGUCCAGACUCCUACGGGAGGCAGCGUUGGGGAAUAUUGCACAAUGGGCGCAAGCCUGAUGCAGCCAUGCCGCGUGUGUGAAGAAGGCCUUCGGGUUGUAAAGCACUUUCAUCGGGGAGGCGUUACCCGCAGAAGAAGCACCGGCUAACUCCGUGCCAGCAGCCGCGGUAAUUC